rnacentral:rRNA from 1 species
CCCAGACUCCUACGGGAGGCAGCAGUGGGGAAUAUUGCACAAUGGGGGAAACCCUGAUGCAGCGACGCCGCGUGAAGGAAGAAGUAUCUCGGUAUGUAAACUUCUAUCAGCAGGGAAGAAAACAGACGGUGCCUGACUAAGAAGCCCCGGCUAACUACGUGCCAGCAGCCGCGGUAAUACGUAGGGGGCAAGCGUUAUCCGGAUUUACUGGGUGUAAAGGGGGCGCAGACGGCCAUGGCAAGCCCGGUGUGAAAGGCAGGGGCAUAACCCCUGGACUGCACUGGGAACUGUCAGGCUGGAGUGCCGGAGGGGUAAGCGGAAUUCCUGGUGUAGCGGUGAAAUGCGUAGAUAUCAGGAGGAACACCGGCGGCGAAGGCGGCUUACUGGACGGCAACUGACGUUGAGGCUCGAAGGCGUGGGGAGCAAACAGGAUUAGAUACCCGAGUACAU